UUAGCACUCAAGGGAGAAAAAUAGACUUUAUUUACAAGUAAUAACAUUUAGAAAAGAUCCAUUCCCGGCCCUUAAAAACCUUCCCAUCGUUCCAUAUCCCCCCAGUGCAAGUCUGGGGAGCUGAAGUAUGAGCUGCCAUUGAAGGCUGCCCCCCUCCCACCCCUGAGACCCAGGACCUAUCUGUCCUGGGAAAAGCAUCCUCCAGGCAGCUGAAUAUGGAAGCAGGCGCAGCCGCUCUUCCAGCUUCUGGCUCUUCUCUGACUCAGCUACAACCAGGCGCUUCAACUCCUUGCUUUCUCCCUCCUUCUCUAGGACUUGGCGAUUCAGGAUGGAUACCUCCUCUUCCAAGCUGCUGAUAAGACUGCUCUUUCUCUCAGCUUCCUGCUGGCCACGGGCUACCUGGGCCUUCCACUC
rnacentral:lncRNA from 1 species